rnacentral:lncRNA from 1 species
GGGGCGGGGGCGAGCCCCGGGGCGCCGGAGGGCCAGCAAGCCCCGAGGUAGGCGCGCGGACCUGGGCGGGCUCCCUGGAGUCCGGGGCGGAGGGAUGCUUCAGACCGAGCGGCUUCCUGCAGGUUCCUGGAUCCUGAGGGUGCUUCCACAGCGUGCCUCUGCUCCACUCGGAGGACCUGCUGCCUCCCAGACGUCUCCCUCAAGCGGCCGCAGACCCUGCAGACUCAGCUUGUCCAAACCCUCUGCGAGCCCGGCCGGUACAGUGUCACAUGUGGCUGCUCAGCCGUGAGGCGGAGUCCCGGCUUCACAGGCCCUGGCUCUGCGGGUAUUGAGGACAUCGGCAUCUGCCCUGGAGUCUCCUGGUCCAUUCCUCUCCUCCCCCAUGCCCACAUUGGCCCCCAGGAAAAGUAUGUGCCCCUAUGUAUCUGUUCUUAUGAAAACUUAUAAUGAUUAUUUUUUCCCAAAACAGAUUUCAAAAAUACUAUUGAUGACUUUUGUUUCCACUAAAGCCAGGAAAAUAAAAUUAUAAUAAAUUCAGUUUGGGCCAGGGAUAUAGCUCAGCAGCACAGCACCUGCCUGGAAAAUGCAAGGUCCUGAGUUCAAUUCCCAUACCAAAAAAUAAAAAAUAAAUAAAAUGAAGUCAAUUUUAGGUAGGAAUAAAAUGUGUAAGCUUAAGAUACUGUAAUGUAAUGUGUUUAAGCCAGGAAUGGUGGCCCAUACUUGUAAUCCCAGUAUUAGGAGGCUGAGGCAGGAGGAUCACCAUAAAUUUGAGGGCAACCUGGGUUACACAGUGAAUUCAAGGCCAGUCUGAACUACACAGCCAGACCUGUCUCAAAAAAGCAAAUAAAUAAAUAAUGUGAGUUUGGGCUGGGGAUAUAGCUCAGUGGUAGAGUACCUGCCAGCACAGGGUGAAAAUAAAUUGAGUCUUAAAUAAACUUACUUUUUUUUUUUUUUUUUUUUUUGAGACAGGAUCUCCCUAUGCAGUCCAGACCAACCUUGAGCUCAUUCUGUAGCCCAGGCUGUCCUCAAACUCACAGCGAUCUUCUUGCUUUGGCCUCCCAAGUCCUGGGAUUGCAGGUGUGAGCCACCAUGCCCAGCCACUUUUAAAUUUUUCAAUGUUUUUUUCUCCCAUUACUUUAAUGUUUGAGGGGGAAUUAACCACUAAAAACACGUAAACGAGAACCGUCAAAUAGAAUGUUUGUUGUCCCACCGACUUGGGAGGCUGAGGCAGGAGGAUCACAAGUUUGAGGCCUGCCC